AUUAAACGCUGGCGGCAUGCCUUACACAUGCAAGUCGAACGGCAGCACGGGGGCAACCCUGGUGGCGAGUGGCGAACGGGUGAGUAAAGCAUCGGAACGUGCCCUGGAGUGGGGGGAUAACGUAGCGAAAGUUACGCUAAUACCGCAUAUUCUGUGAGCAGGAAAGCAGGGGAUCGCAAGACCCUGCGCUCUGGGAGCGGCCGAUGUCGGAUUAGCUAGUUGGUGGGGUAAAGGCCUACCAAGGCGACGAUCCGUAGCGGGUCUGAGAGGAUGAUCCGCCACACUGGGACUGAGACACGGCCCAGACUCCUACGGGAGGCAGCAGUGGGGAAUUUUGGACAAUGGGCGAAAGCCUGAUCCAGCCAUGCCGCGUGAGUGAAGAAGGCCU
rnacentral:rRNA from 1 species